rnacentral:rRNA from 1 species
UACGUAGGGUCCGAGCGUUGUCCGGAAUUAUUGGGCGUAAAGGGCUCGUAGGCGGUCUGUUGCGUCGGGAGUGAAAACUUACAGCUUAACUGUGAGCGUGCUUCCGAUACGGGCAGACUUGAGGUAUUCAGGGGAGAACGGAGUUCCUGGUGUAGCGGUGAAAUGCGCAGAUAUCAGGAGGAACACCGGUGGCGAAGGCGGGUCUCUGGGCCGAUACUGACGCUGAGGAGCGAAAGCGUGGGGAGCGAACAGG